rnacentral:lncRNA from 1 species
AAAAAAAGCUGUCUUCAAGACCUAUGUUUUCUGGUUCUGUGUCUGCUGCUGGUUAGAACUGGUCUUACAAUUUUAUCUUCUACAAACUACUGGCUCGUCCAUCUGGAGUAAAAUCUGGAGUAUCUUACUUCUGCCCUUGACAGGAAUAGACUGCACAGGAGGUUCUUAACCGGCAGCCAAAAUAUGGGAUCGCAUGUUUUUGUAAGGUGUUUCAACUUCUACUCAGUCCCAGCUUUGCUGAUGAUAUCUAUAUCUUAAAAAGUGAAGAGGUUUUUGAGUCUUUAUGACGUCACUGGGAUGUUAAUUUCAAGCUGGAUCUGGACAUUUGGGAAGAUUCUUGUUUUAUCACAGAAGGUCUGUUGACUCUUGCUUUUGUUUUUGUUUUGAAGUAAAAUAAAAACUCUGUUGAAAAAUCCCCC